UACGUAGGCAGCAAGCGUUGUUCGGAAUUACUGGGCGUAAAGAGUGUGUAGGCGGUGCUCUAAGUUCGGUGUGAAAUCUCCCGGCUCAACUGGGGAGGGUCACGCGAUACUGAUCGACUCGAAGGCAGGAGAGGGAAGUGGAAUUCCCGGUGUAGUGGUGAAAUGCGUAGAUAUCGGGAGGAACACCAGUGGCGAAGGCGACUUCCUGGCCUGUUCUUGACGCUGAGGCGCGAAAGCUAGGGGAGCAAACGGG
rnacentral:rRNA from 1 species